AAAUCUACGCAAAAUUCAACAAUUUUAAUAAUGUUAAUAAAAAGUGUAUGCAUUUAUUAAAAAGUCAAAUUGUGACAAUGUAAAAUGGACUACAAAAAUCUAAUCUUUUGUGUCACAAAAGUCUUGUAUUUCGUAAAUAAAGCUUAAGCUAUUCUAAACUAUUUUUUUCAAACAAGCUUAAUGUGGGUUUUUUCUGUUUCAAAUUCUGAGCUUUUCUCUCUAAAAAGUACUAAUGAAAUAAUUUUGUCAUAAAAGAUUUUCUGCUCUAUCUAAAUAUAUUAGAUAUAGAACAAUGCAUUUGAUUGCCGUAUUUUGGUGACAAAAUACAUUAAAUAAGAUUUUAUAUCAGCUGAUUAAUAUAAUUUUUAAUGCAAAAUCUCGGGCCAGAAUCAUAAAUAUUUACACUAAUGAUACAUAAUGCAUCAAACAACCAAAACAGCAUGUAUUCCGUUAGUAUCUUGUGUUAACAUUUUCUCAUUUUUCAUCAUUUUCUGCAACGGCACGCUUCUAGCAAUAAUAUUUUAUUACUGGUGUUUAAUUUCAGAGAAAUCCGAACCUUAUACGGAACUAAAUGCGUUAGUCGCCACCCUUUCUACUGGUCCUUAUGGCCCAAGUGAUAUGGCAGGCCAUAUUGAUUACCGUCUUAUCAACAGGUAAAAUCUUUUUUCUUAAAAUUAUGAAUUUAAUGAUUACAAUGAGAGAGAGAGAGAGAGAGAGAGAGAGAGAGAGAGAGAGAGAGAGAGAGAGAGAGAGAGAGAGAGAGAGAUUGACUUCUGUAUGAUAUCUGUGUUCGUAGAACCUCUAUCUAUUUUGGACAACUAAUGCAUCCAUCAAAACCAGCAACUGCAAUGGAUAUUCAAAUCAUAAAGGUAAAUUUUCUUAUUGUUUAAAUUUGAAUGGAUAUGACUGUUCUCAAUAAAUAUGCAAUUUUGGGUUUUUUAAAAUAAGAAAUGCAAGCUAAGUUUAAUCAAUGUUUAUCUUGUUUAUUUAAUGGGUGUUUCAGAAACAAUAUUGUCUUUUAGCAUGCAUUUGAAUCUUUGAAAAUGGAAAUCUGGUCCACGUAUAGCAUGAAUAUGUUUAAAAACACAAGCUUGAACUGGGGAACGAUACUAGCAGUUGAAACCUCUGGAAAUGUCACACUAAAAUAUAAAGACAUGGACUUUCUGACCCCUGGGGUGUCCUAUUUAGUCUAUGAUUACAAGGACGUGUCAUCUUUCCGAGAAUUUAAGACGUCUGAUAAUUUGGUGCUUCCAAACAAUUGUACCAAAUCUGAGUUUUGUCUUUUCCACUUUGUUCCCAAAUUAGAAUAUGGAAACAACGAAAUAUACAUGUUAGGAGAUGUAAGUAAAUGGAUUCCGGCUUCAAGCACCAGAAUCAGAUCCAUUGUGUAUCAGGAGGCGGAUCUCUUAAUCAAUCUGUGGGGUGGAGCAAAUGAGGAAAUCACCAUACACUACGUGUUCAAUGGUAAACUAAAAUCUAGCACGUGUCCAAUAAAGACUACUGGUUGGAACUGCAUUUCCAUGCUUACUGGAAAAUGUGUAUAUUGAUCGUGGUUGUUCAAAAUAAAGAUACAUUUUUCACACAU
rnacentral:misc_RNA from 1 species